UACGUAGGGGGCAAGCGUUGUCCGGAAUCAUUGGGCGUAAAGCGCGCGUAGGCGGCCCGGUAAGUCCGCUGUAAAAGUCCAGGGCUCAACCCUGGAAAGCCGGUGGAUACUGUCGGGCUAGAGUCCGGAAGAGGCGAGUGGAAUUCCUGGUGUAGCGGUGAAAUGCGCAGAUAUCAGGAAGAACACCCGUGGCUAAGGCGGCUCUCUAGUACGGUACUGACGCUGAGACGCGAAAGCGUGGGGAGCGAACAGG
rnacentral:rRNA from 1 species